GAUUAAAAUAGACCAUACACAUUGAAGAGAGAAGGAGGGGGGACAGUUCUUCUUCGUCAUCUUCAUAACCAACAACAAUCUCACCCUUGAACGGACUCCUCCAGUCACCAUCCCAAAAAACCUCAGCAGACCCGUCAACUUCCUCAUUCUCCAAUGUUGUUCUCACCCUUGAACGAACUCCUCCAAUCACCGUCCCAAACAACCUCAGCAGACCCGUCACCUUACUCAUUCUCCAACGCCGUCCAGCAGGCCAACAACCCUCAAAUGACCAGCAACCAUCAGUCACAACCUGCUGAAGGCCACCCGCAACAGUGAACUCGCUAUCUCUUCUUCUUCAAGCCCAAACGACCACUCCUUCUCCUCCCAUCUCAAUCGCCAGCCUCUCUUCGUCUCAAAACCUCCAGAAACAACCAGCUUGUGCAGCUAUGAAGCCACUCUAGAGGUUGUCGUUCAUGCUAUGACUUCCGUUCAAGAUUUCCAUUAGCGAUUUCGCAGUCUCCGGUCGAAGGUUUCCGGUUUGGUCGAGUUUUGUUUGCGGUUCUGGGUCCAACAUGUUAUUGCUUUCUUGGACGAAUUUUGGAGUAAAGAUAUGUUUAAUUGCUAACUUUCUUUGCUAUUGAGGUGCAAAGGGAACUGAAUUUGGCAGCUAGUUCAUUGGAUAUAAACUUCCAGUUGGUUUUUGUUUGGAUCGUCAGAUUCACCUAUUUUUACUGUUAGGUAAGUCUCUCAUUUCUCUAUAUUUUUGUUUCCUUUGUGCUGCUAAUCUGGUAUUGUGGUCCAAUAGAUAGAAAAAAUGGAUGUGUCAUGUAGAAUUAUUGAUCUUUCUAGGAUGAAAAUGAAUCCAUUCCUUGAAUAAGCAUAGGCACGUCUUCAUAUACUGAUGAUAUUGUGGUUCGAUAUAUAGAAAUAAGGGAUGUGUCAUGUAGAAUUAUUGAUCUUUGUAGGAUGAAAAUGAAUCCAUGCCUUGAAUAAGCAUAUGCACAUCUUCAUAUACUGAUGUACAUGUGUAUCAUGCAUAUUUUAGUCCCUUUUUCACGUUUUUAUAUAUAAAUAUAUGCAGUGACAUGUAAACUUGAAAUAUUUUCAGCUUAUUUUCUUAGCUCUCCUGGUAAUGUGGAUCAAUGUUCCUUGCUAAUAUUUGUUACUGUGUAAAUAUAUUUUGGCUAGUAUUUUGUAAAAAUAGAAUAUGCAAAUUGAUAAUGUCAAAGAAUAUAUUGAUUCCAUAUCAAUUUAUUCGAAAACACAUGGCCCUCACUUAAUUAGUUUUAACCAUAUAGAAGUCGGGACGUGCCAUUAGUUGGAUUUUUCAUGGCCCUCACAAAGUAAAAAAAAUAUUGUAGUUGCAUUAGGUAUGCCUUUGAAAUAAUAAAAUGAGACAAGCCUCGCCCGAUAAAUUGCAAGUUGCGGGGCCGUCUAUGCAUGUUUGUCAUGCAAGAUUGCUUAGACACCGGAACGGGCCAUUUAAACAAAAGUCCACGGCCUCGCCCAAAACAAUACUACGCUAGUCGCUUAGGGCGCGUCUUUAAUAAAGUUACUUCCCUAAAUACGGGCAUGCAUUUAUGCAACCCAAAUCUAAAAUCUCAACAAAGUCGGAAUGUGUCGACGACCACGCGUACACUGGUUGUGACGUGGUUUGAAGCAUGUUUUCACGACGUUGCAAUUAUUUUCCAAAAUGACAACAAUAAUAAUAAAAGCGGUACAAGAGCCUUGACUUGCACUAAGUACAUAAUUGUUAAAAUCAGAUAAAUAAGCCGAAUACGACAGUUGAGCGACCGUGCUAGAACCACGAAACUACGAAAUGCCUAACACCUUCUCCCGGGAACAGAAUUCCAUAUCGGGAUUUUUGGUUCGUGGACGGUAAUACAGAGUCAAUAUUUUCCUCGAUUCGGGAUUCAACCGGUGACUUGGGACACCAUAAAUCUCUCAAGUGGUGACUCUGAAUCUUUAAUAAUAAAUCCCGUUUUAAUUGUCCUUUAAUUGAAAAACUCCCCAAAAAAGGAGGUGUGACAGCUCUGGCGACUCUGCUGUGGACUCAAUGACCCAAAAUCACUGGUUCAGGGUUAGAAAUUUGAGCUUAGAAUAAAUUGUUGUGUUUGGUUUUAUUUAUUAUCUGAUAUUUUAUAUGAUCUAUGCUUAAUGUGCAAAAUUGUAUUUUUUGCCGCUUUGAUAUUAUUUGAAUUGUAUAUAUAAAUUAUGCCGAAACCCCUCUCUUCUCUCUCCUGUGGAGUGCACGCUGGUCGUGACUUCUUUCUAUUAGUGUCAUAAUCCCAAAAUAGAACGAGGAUUCGGUGGAGUUGCAAAACCGGAGGAUCUUUUGGUUACUGGUACGCAGUUCCCAUCCUCGGCUCGAGUUGUCUGCUCGGGUAAGCCAGGUCUAGAACAAAAACCCAAGUUUGAACCUAGUAUAACAAAACUUCAUGAAGGAUCCCUAGUAAGAACGCUUAUUUGCAUCAUGUGCAUUUGACUUAGGGGACUCAACACAGGGGUUGGGUUCGUCUAAAACUAGCAACCUGAAAUGAAAUGACCAUCUUGCUGCAUCCUGUUUGUUUUGCGCAUUUAUUUGUUUCAGACUUGCAUGCUGACCGGUUUUGAAUAUCGAAAAUAUUGUAAAAAUGAGAAAAAGAGAAAAAGAGAGAAAUAGUAGUGCAGAGAGUUAAUUAUUUAGUUUUAGAAUAACCAAUGCGUAACUACUCGUGAAACUCUGCCGAAAUUCUGAAAAUAAAAAAAAGGAAAAUAUUUUCUUUUUAAUAGUCUGUUCUACUAAAAGCAAAGGAAAAAUAGAAGAAAAAAAAGUCUUUCAUUUUUGGAAAAUUGUUUGCUGAAAAAUAAAAAUGAAAAAAGAGUCUUGUUUAUUAAAAUAGUUUUUUCAUUUUGUUUAUGAAACGCCAAAAAUAAAAAUAAAAAGAGUCGUGGUUUGAAAUGGUUUUGUUAUUUGCUGCCAAAAAAAAGAGUCUUGUUUUAAAAUAAUUCAGUUAAUUUGGCGAAUUACGCCGGUUUGAUUCUCACAGGGUGUCAAAUACUUAGGCGACCCUCAUCGAGUCCAACCUCCCAUUUUGCUAGAAUAGCCAAAAAAAUAUCAAUUUUUAUUGUCGUCAUAAAUGAGUUGGGCGAUGCCGUUUUUUUCAAAAAUAGCCGAAUGUUCCAGAAAGGGACGCCGGAAGGCUGACUUUGCAUAAAAGGCCACCUUUGGUCAUUGUUUUAGAUUUUUGGUUGACUGACCCACACAACCUUAAAAUCUUCGUCCCCGAGGCGUUGAAAGGCCGUGUUUGCAAAUAUCGGAUUUUUUAUUUUUAAUGUAGAAAAACAAAAAAGUAGUCAUAAAUAAGUCGGUGAGGUUGUUUUGUCAAAACAUAGCCGAAUGUUUCCGAAAGGAACGCCGGAAGGCUACCUUUGCAUUAACAUCCACCUUUUACCAUUGUUUUAGGAUUUUGGCUGGUUAGCUAAUGCAGCCUUAAAAUCUUCGUCCCCGGGGUGCUAAAGGCCGUGUUUGCAAAACCUGGUCUUUUAUUUUAAUUUGAAAAAAAAGAGUUAGUGGGCAAGUAGAUGCCGUUUGGAUUUUUGGUUGAAAUAAGCCGAGCCAGCUUCGACACUGUAUUAAACCGUUCUUGACGAGAUAGCCCUAGAGUAUCCUUCAGUAGUCGAAAGGCUACUUUCGUAAAAGAACGGACAUAUUUGUGAAAUAAUCAUUCUCGGCCUCUAAAUUCAUGUGAAAUUGAGAAGGGGCCACAUUUGUAAAAAAUAGCCAUUUGGUUAAAAGUGGCAAAUAGGGAAAUGAAUCUGUCUGUUUGUCUUUGAUAUUGUAAUUCUUUUGAUAAAAUAUGCGAGUUGUUUGAUUUUCGAGUCCAUAUGUUGUAUUUUCGUCAAAUUUUGAUAGUUUGUUCAACUUUUAGACCAUUGUAAUUAAAGUUGAUUUUUAUUAUGAAAGUUAAAAAAUUCCAAAAAAAUGUUUUAUUGUUAUUUCCUUGUAUCUGCCCGAACUAUGCACGGUCUGAUUCAUGCGGGGUCAUGAUACGUAGGCAAUCUACAUAAGAUUCGACCAAAAAAAAUAAAAAAUAAAAAAAAACGAAAAAAAAUCUUAAAAAAGAAAGAAGAAAGAAAAAAAAAGUUAUUAAUAAUGAGGACCGACUGAGUCCAUUCUAACCUGUUUUAUUUUGAAUCGCAAAGAAAGUUAAGGUGGUUGGUUCGUGGUAAGCCGGAACACAAGAUCCAGGAAAACCUGACUGUAAUCCAAGACAAUGACAAUUAGAAUAUCACGCAGAAUCCUUUACCUGCAUAUCAUGAUGCACACUCUAUGGGGAUAAGGCCUGAUAACAGGGAGCACUCGAAUCCUAUUGGGAACUUGUUGACUGAGGUUGAUGAUAUUGAAGUUGGUAAUGGUCUUGGCAAUAUUGAUGCGAAGCUCAGUGGCUAAGACACCAUGUUUGAUAAUUGGGAGGACGCUCCGUUCCUUGGUUAGCAGGAGAGAAGCUUUGAUGUCUUAUUUUGUUUUUAUUUCUGUUGUCCGGAUUAUUCUUAGGGUUGUAAUCAAGAUAUUAUCGUAUGUCAAACCUUCUUAUCUUUCCAUUUCUUUCAUAGUUGUUUGGUUAGUUUUGUCCAGGUUUGUUUUGGGAUUGUAUUUUUGUUAUUUUUUGUUUGUUUUGUUAUUCAAACCAUUUCAAUGUUAGUCUAAUGCAAAACCGGAUUAUUCUUAGGGUUGUAAUCCGGAUACUGUCUUGUGUCAAACUUUUUAUUUUUCCAUUUUUAUCAUAGCGGUUUGUUUAAUUUUGUCAAGGUUUAUUUCGUGAUCGUUCUAGUUUGUUUUUGUUUGUUUUGUUAUUCAAACCAUUUCACCGUUAGUCUAAUGCAAAAUUCGGUCUUUUAUUAUUUCCAGUCAUCUUUCCGUUUAGUUCUUUUUUCAUUUUGUUGUGUCUUUUAUUCAGCGCCAAUUCUAGUGACAUGACAUGCACGAACAGUUUGGGCCUAGUCUUAAAAGUUAAUCAUAAAACAAGUGAAAAGUGAUCGGGAUAUUUAAAGGAGAUAAGAGCGGUUUGAGAUCAUUUGAAGCCCAAACCAUGAGAAACUGGGCAAGUAAAUGAGAGUAUUGCCCAACGAUGUUAUAUGUGUAUAUGAUUAUCUGGUGCAAUCAAAAGAUGUUACCAAUGUUUUCGAUAGAUUGUUUAAUUAUGUUGUUUGUACUUGGCGUGUUUUGGAGAUUGGAAUAACGAAUGCAUUUUGUUCUACUAUCAAAACACUUUAUCCUUCGUUAGCCCUUUGAGCCGUAUUUAUUUUUCUUUCAUACCCCUCUUUCGGAAUCAAUAGCAAAGGGUAGAAACACAAACAUAAAAAAAUAUGAAAAAGAGAAAGAAAAAGAGAAAACAACAAAAAGAGAAAACAAAAAGCAAAAGAGAAACGAGAAAAGGAAAAGGAAAAGAAAAAGAAAAGAAAGAUAAGAAAAAUAAUAAGCGAAAAGGAAAACUAGAAAAAACAAAUAGGAAUUGUGAACUAAAUUCGACCUGAUUCCUCAAGGAGGAUACGUAGGCGCCUCACGGCUCGGUCAUAGUGCAAAUAAAAAUAAAAAAUCCCCAAGAAAGAAACUGGGGCAAAAAUUAUGUUUAUUGUAAAAUAAUCUAGUUCCGAACAUUGUAAUUUUAAACUAAAUUGAUGUAUUUUUUUAGCCUUUAAAUACCCUUGCUUUCUAGCCUAUCCAAAUCCCACAUUACGGUAAAAAAAAAGACCUUCUAAUCAGUCUUCAAAAGAUGCCAAGUCAGACAAAUGAGGGAGUAUUAUCAGAACAUAACACUCUUAUCUCCAGUAGAAAAGAUUCUGAUCUCCAUACUGAGAAGACUCUGUUCCCCAAUAGAAAAGACUUCGCCCCCCNNNNNNNNNNNNNNNCCCCUUGCAUAAAAGAAAUAGAAAAGAGAGUCUUAUUGGUAACACCCCGAUCCCCAGUUGGAAAGUAAUACAUAUGAGAGAGUCUUAUCUCUGAAAACCUUCACGGGCACCAUAAGGCGAUGAAAGCUGAGAGAAAAGCCAAAAUGAGAGAGGCUUGACAGUGAAACCUUCGUGCACUACAAGUCGAAUAAGGGUGAGAAUCAGAUGGGGAAUCACCAAAUGAAGAUCUUGGAAGACGAUUGACAACGGAGGAUAGGCCACAUGUGCAUGUCAUGACCAUUAGAGUCGGUAUCCGCGUUUGAAAGGUUUUGAUUUUAUAGUUUCUCUUGUUAGAGUGUCAUAUCUUUCCUUUGUCGUUUAUUCUGUUCCUUUUUAUCUUUAUCUUUUCAUAAAAAAUUCCUCAAUAGAGUCUGUUUGGUUAGAACAAGUGAGAAAUGACUUCGAAAUCUGCCAUCAGCUUUCCAAUUAUGCAAGACGAGAUCUGACUAGUACGUCCAAGUGGUAUAAUUCAGGAAUGAACAAACACAAGGCCAGUAUUAAAAAGGAUAUCCCCAGCAAGAGGAGAUUGACAAAGGGAUGGAUCAGUGUCAAGAAAGAUAUCCUGCGGGAAUCAAAGGUUAUAGGCCUCAAGGCCAAGGCCAUCAUGAGAUUGACAAAGGGAUGGAUCAGUGUCAGGAAAGAUAUCCUGCGGGAAUCAAAGGUUAUAGGCCUCAAGGCCAAGGCCAGUGGACAAAUCAAGUUAGAACGACGCUGAAAGCGAUGGGCAUGAAUUGGAGAUUCAUAUGAGACUCCAAGGUCGGGGGAAAUGCUAGUUCCCUAGUUAUGAUACAAAAGAAGAGGGAUAUCCCUAGCAGAAAAGGUAUUUCAGUGACAUCGGAUAAACGAAGAAAGUGGUUCAUCAGUAAAACAUGCAAAAUCCUCAAGCAGAGUCACUGUCAUAGGAAUGUGGGUGGUCAGGAUACAAGUGGAAAACAACGGUGAAAGGCUUGUGAAUAAGGAGUCAUCAAGAAGGUCGGAAAUUAUCGACCAAGUUUCAAGAUGGCCAGAUGAUGCAAGGCAAGGCAAGUCAUGCUAAGGCCAGCAAAUAACAUCCUCCCCAGCAAGUUUUGAUAGUGUAAUGGAAUGCUGAGCAGGGAAGGAGAAAGGGAAAAACCAUCCCCAGCAAGAGCGACACAACCACUCACGAGUUUAAAACUAAUAAAUUUUCUUUGAUUGGAAGUAGGUAAAAGAAAAUAACAUUGAUGGCGAAAAGGCAUGACACGAGGAAGAUUAUCAAAUUAUGGCUGAAAAUUUUCCUUUCAUUUGGAAAAUUUUUUGAAAAAAUUAGGUAUCCACUUGGGGAAAAAGGAAAAUAAGACAAAUCUCAAGAGAAGAGGUCUUUGAAACAGUGUUAUCCCCAGAAUAACAAGUUUUAAUGAGGGAAGUUGUAUCCCCAGCAGCCCGAACAAAAGGAUAAAACUUGUGUUCAGAAAAAGUAAAAGGCCAGUGCCAUCCCCGGUAGCUUCUAGAAGAAUGAACCACUGAUUUUGAAGGAAUAAAAUUCCCCCCAGCAGCGUUAUCCUCAACAACGUUAUCCUCAAAUGAUAGCACUUUUAUCCCAGCAGUGUUGAGAGAAAGUAAUUUUGGAAAAAAAAGGAGAGAAAAGAGGGGACGAAAGGAGAUUCCCUAGAGGUAUUAUCCCCAACAGGAAAGUAAGUAAUUCCCCAGCAAUGUUAUCCCAGUAGUCUCGAGGGAAGACAACAUUGGCUUUUAAAGGAGGAAGCCAUCCCCAGCAAGGCCACAAAUCGGCCACCAUUUUUAAAGCUGAUAAAAUUUUCUUUGUUUGAGAGUUGAAACAGGAAUAAAGCAAUUCAAGGAAAAAAGAAAAGAAAAGAAGAAAUAACAAAGGUAAGUUUCUCAAAUCUUUGAUCUUUAAAUUUUUCUCCUAGAAUAAAAAGUCCUAGUAUGAUGGAUUUCCCUCCUAAUACAAUCUUGGUCCGAUGGAUUUUUUCUCCCAAGAUAAGAUAAAAUGUUGGUCUGAUGGAAUUUUUCUCCCAAGGUAAGAUAUAAAAAUCUUGGUCCGAUGGAAUUUUUCUCCCAAGAUAAGAUAAAAUCUUGGUCCAUUGGACUUUUUCUCCCAAGAUAAGAUAUAACAAUUUUAGUCCGAUGAAAUUUUCUCCUAAGAUAUCAAAUCUUAGUCCGAUGAAUCUUUCUCCUAGGAUCACAACAAAAUGGACCUAGUCUGAUGAAUCCUAGAGUCAAAAUCUUGGUCCGAUGAAAUUUUUCUCCUAAGAUAAGAUAAAAUCUUGGUCCGAUGGAAUUUUUCUCCCAAGAUAAUAUAUCAAUCUUUGUUAGAUGAAUUUUCUUCUAAGAUAUAACAAUUCGUAGUCUGAUGAAUUUUCUCAUACGAUAAUUUAAAAAGAAAGGAAGCCAUAAUUUGAAAAGAAGGGAAAGCAGAAUUUGAGAAAAAGAAAAAGAAAACGAAAGGAAGUCUGAAUUUGAAAAACAAAGUCUAAAUUUGAAAAACAAAAAAGAAAAGAAAAAAAAGUGUGAAUUUGCAAAAAAUUAAGAAAGUAUGGAUUCGAAAAAUGGACCUAGUCUGAGGGAUUAUCUCCUAAAGUCAAAAUCUUGGUCCGAUGGAAUGUUUCUCCUAUGAUAAUAUAACAAUCUUAGUCAGAUGAUUUUUUUUUCUCCUAAGAUGAAAAAUCUUAGUCUAAUGAAUUUUUCACCUAAGAUAAUAUAAAAAUCUUAGUCUGUUGAAACUUUCACCUAAAAUAAAAAAUCUUAGUCUGAUGAAUUUUUCACCUACGAUAAAAUAAAAAUAUUAGUCUGUUGAAACUUUCACCUAAGAUAAAAAAUCUUAGUCUGAUGAAUUUUUCACCUAAGAUAAAAUAAAAAUCUCUGAUGAAACUUUCUCCUACGAUGAAAUCUUAGUCUGAUGAAUUUUUCACCUAAAAUAAAAAAAACCAUCUCCAACAGGAGUAUCACAACUUAUCAUCGCAUUUUUAACUGACAAAAUUGUCUUUUUAAAGUUUUAUUUGAAGUUUUACCCAUAGGAGACGCACUUCCUAGUUUUAGUCACUAAAGUUUUGCAUUUCCUAGUUUUAGUCAUUGAAGUUUUCACCCCUAGGAGACGCACUUCCUAGUUUUAGUCAUUGAAGUUUUCACCCCGAGGAGACACACUUCCUAGUCUUGGUCAUUUAAAUUUAUCAUUAGGAGACGCACUUCAUAGGUUUGGUUCAUUCAGGUAUUAUGUUAGCAGACGCACCUGCUAGUCAGAGUUGGUUUUACUCAUAGGAGACACACAUCCUAGUCUAAUCUUUAGUUUACACUCAUCAUUGCAUCAGUAGUAUAAGUGGUUUACAAUUUUGCUAACUACUCACAAAUCUUCAUAGCGCAAAUUGGGUAGGAAAGUUCGUUUGUUUUGGUUGUUUUGAUUGUUUUGAUUGUAGGAUCCCGCAUGGAGAGCGGAG
rnacentral:lncRNA from 1 species